UACGUAGGGUGCGAGCGUUGUCCGGAAUUAUUGGGCGUAAAGGGCUCGUAGGCGGUCUGUUGCGUCGGGAGUGAAAACUCAGGGCUUAACCCUGAGCCUGCUUCCGAUACGGGCAGACUAGAGGUAUGCAGGGGAGAACGGAAUUCCUGGUGUAGCGGUGAAAUGCGCAGAUAUCAGGAAGAACACCGACGGCGAAGGCAGCUCGCUGGGACGGUACUGACGCUGAGGCGCGAAAGCGUGGGGAGCAAACAGG
rnacentral:rRNA from 1 species